AAUGGCGUAAGGCCAUCUC
rnacentral:snRNA from 1 species